rnacentral:rRNA from 1 species
CGCCCCGAAUUGUAGUCUAGAAAGGCGCCAUCGGUCGCGUCCGUCGCUUAAGUUCCUUGGAAUAGGAGAGUCGGAGAAGGUGAGAACCCUGUACCGUGGCGGAUCGCGACCGCACGAUGCGCCCUUGCAGAGUCGGGUUGCUUGGGAUUGCAGCUUGAAGUGGGUGGUAAAUUCCAUCUAAAGCUAAAUAUUGGCUCAUGACCGAUAGCGAACAAGUACCGUGAGGGAAAGAUGCAAAGAACUUUGAAAAGAGAGUUAAAGAGUGCUUGAAAUCGGCAAGAGGAAACCCGUUUGUGCCCGGUUUUGCGACGCCAUUUUAGCCGUCUUGUAGCGGUGUACUGUGGUUAGCAUCGUUCAUUGCGAUUACGAGCGUGUGAUAAUCACCCGGGGGGCUUCGGUGAGCCGGGACAUAGCAUGCUUGUGAUUCCGAUGGACGGAACGGGCACAACCGACCCGUCUAGAAACACGGACCAAGGAGUCUGACACGGAUGCGAGUACCUGGGUGGUAAGCCCACGUGCGCAAUGAAAGUGAAGGGCGUGCCCCGCCAACCGACCUUGAUCUUCUGUGAAGGGUUUGAGUCGAGCAUCACUGUCGGGACCCGAAAGAUGGUGAACUAUGCCUGAGGAGGUUGAAGUCUAAGGAAACUUAGAUGGAGGACCGUAGCGCUACUGACGUGCAAAUCGUUCGUCGAACUUGGGUAUAGGGGCGAAAGACUAAUCGAACCAUCUAGUAGCUGGUUCCCUCCGAAGUUUCCCUCAGGAUAGCUUGGACGCAAGGGUUUUGU